CCUACGGGUGGCAGCAGUCGAGAAUCAUUCACAAUGGGGGAAACCCUGAUGGUGCGACGCCGCGUGGGGGCAUGAAGGUCUUCGGAUUGUAAACCCCUGUCAUGUGGGAGCAAAUUAAAAAGAUAGUACCACAAGAGGAAGAGACGGCUAACUCUGUGCCAGCAGCCGCGGUAAUACAGAGGUCUCAAGCGUUGUUCGGAAUCACUGGGCGUAAAGCGUGCGUAGGCUGUUUCGUAAGUCGUGUGUGAAAGGCGCGGGCUCAACCCGCGGACGGCACAUGAUACUGCGAGACUAGAGUAAGGGAGGGGGAACCGGAAUUCUCGGUGUAGCAGUGAAAUGCGUAGAUAUCGAGAGGAACACUCGUGGCGAAGGCGGGUUCCUGGACAUUAACUGACGCUGAGGCACGAAGGCCAGGGGAGCGAAAGGGAUUAGAUACCCGUGUAGUC
rnacentral:rRNA from 1 species